rnacentral:rRNA from 1 species
UACGUAGGGUGCAAGCGUUGCCCGGAUUUAUUGGGCGUAAAGGGCGCGUAGGCGGCUCGGCACGUCCGUUGUGAAAUCGCCCGGCUCAACUGGGCGGGGUCAGCGGAUACGGUCGAGCUCGAGCAAGCUAGGGGGCAAUGGAAUUCCCGGUGUAGUGGUGGAAUGCGCAGAUAUCAGGAGGAACACCGGUGGCGAAGGCGGAUCUCUGGGCCUUACCUGACGCUCAGGCGCGAAAGCUAGGGGAGCGAACAGG